rnacentral:tRNA from 5 species
AGGCUUGUAGCUCAGGUGGUUAGAGCGCGCCCCUGAUAAGGGUGAGGUCGGUGGUUCAAGUCCACUCAGGCCUACCA